UAAUAUUCAAAUAUUUUGGGAUGAUCUCACUACAAGUUACAGGCCAACAAUGUUGCAUUUUACCUUUAUUUUUCAUUUCUCAUCAAAGUAAAAUCAAAUAUAGAAAUUUUAUUUUUCUUUCUUUUUUUAUUUUUCCAACUAGCUAAUACUUAUUCAGAAAGACAUGCAAAAUAAAAUUACUGGCAGCGUUAGUGUUUGACAAUUCCAAAUAAAGUCAGGAAAUUGACAAUUCACCUCAAUGUGAAUGCCAUAAUCACAAGGCACCAUAUGCUUCAUCUUACCAACAAACUAAUAAAGAAAGCAGUUCAUACUCUCAAGAAAAAGAACAUGAAUGUGCAAAGAAAAACAAAAUUGUAUUCAAAGAGGUGGAGACAAUCUACACAAUUUUUGUGUCAUAACGAUUACGAAACUCUUGUAAAUUUGAGGUGGUCAAUACUAAACUCCUCAUUCUUUCUGUGUAGGUAAUGAUCAGGGAAAAAACCAAACUACUGCAUGCAUAAACUGUGCCAUAUUAGAUGAUAAAUUAUGAUAGACUGCUACUUUAUAAUGAUGCAUUAUUGGGUAAGGCUGAUGCAAGCAGCAUAUGAUUGAAGUACUGUUAGAGCUUGCUCUGUGAUAGCUCUAUUCCUUGCUCGCUUCACCCAAUCACCCGCUAUCUCCUCUGCCACGCUGCCUCUGAGUCCUUCUUGAAGAGCCUCAGCUGCUUCAGCAAGCUUUCCCUCAGCUAGGAAACUCUCAACUCUACUAAUAACAGAUUCAAUCCCAUCACCAGAUGGAUCAACUUCCUUAAACUGCACAAAAGCCAAAGCAAUUCUCAAGACAACUCAAACAUUACUUUAAUCCUGAGUUACUUAAACAGUUAAGAGCUGCCUCAUGAAGUGUAUUCCAGUAAAUGGGUUAAAUAAAUAAUCUUUUUGGAAGCUAAAAGCUUAUUUCAAAUACCCUCAACCAGGAUGCAAUGCGUGCCAUAGCAUGUGCCAAUAUGCCACCACCACCAGGUGGGAUCAGAAUGUAGUGCCGUAGCGUCCCUUUCAAGGCAUUGAACUGCAGAAAAAUGGAGAUUAGUAAAAAACAACAACAACAAUGAUAAUAACAAUAAUACCUUCUGAAUUGGUAAAUUAGGAAAUCAAGCAUUAUUUCUAAUAAGAACAUUAAUGUUCAAAUCUAUAUCAUAACAGAGCACAUUAAAAUUGGCACAUUAGAAACUAUAAAUUACUUGUUAAAUAAUCAUCACAUUAACUUAUAAUAGGUAGAGAAGGGCAGCAUUUUAUGCUCUAUUCCAAUGAAAAUAGUAGGGAAACAAAAUUUAACCAUAGGUUGUAAAGAUGACAAGAGUCAAUCUGUAAGAAUGACAAUGUGGCAUAACAGCAGUUAGUGGCUUUUUAUUUAUUUUUUGGACAGUUCAACUUCCUCUUAAGAGGUGAGAUAUGAUAUAAACUUGGCUAUGCUUAAACACUUACAAGCAUAUAUUUUAACAGUGGAACAUUCAAGUAACUUACCUUCUGAUUCAAUUGUAACAAAGUAUCAGUACCAUGAUAUCGAGUUUCUUCGGGGAGGGUUGAUAAAACCAAAUGUACAAGAGAGUCUUUAUUGAUGCCUUCUAGAUAGGCAUUCAGAGAAUCUAGCUCUUGCUGAAUUGGAAGUCCUUUGGAAAGUGCAUCUUCUAAUGCAAGUGCUCCCAAAGCAAGCUUGUGAACAGAAUGAAUUUGACGAGCCUCUUCAGAUCGUGCAUAGAAUGCCAUACACAAAGCAUUAAUAUUGAGAUUUGCUUCAGCCAUUUUUUCAAUCUGUGCUGCCUUCUCACUCGCGAUUGCUGCAGCUAAUUCUGCUUUUGCCAGGUCCUGAAACUUUUUCAGAUUCAUUUCCGCUUCAUUUUUCUUCUGUUCAAGUUCCAUCUUGAGUUUUUCUUCCAUCUUUUCCUGAAGUGUUCUGAUGGCAGCUGCUGCUUUUGCUCUCUCUCUUUUUAUUUCCUUAUCAAGUAUUGCUGCCUCUUCAGCACGCAUAAGUUCCCUAGCUCUUAAAUCUCUCAAUUCCUUUUCGUACUUCUCCUGAAUGGGAGUGAAAAGAUUAGUAGAACUAAAAAUAUCUAAUGGUCUAAAAAAUCCUGAACUUUGCUCCCAUUUUCAAUUCUGUCCAAUUCUUUUAAUUUUAUCAAUUUAGUCAUAAACUUCCAAAUUAGUAUUAAUUUUAUCCAACAGCUGAAGGGGAUGUGCCAUAAUUGAUAUGGUGCUUAAUAUGGCAUUAAAAAAAAAAAUCUUGCUGAUUUCGCAUUUUCUAUAUAUAUAUAUAAUUUUUCUUGAAAUAGAAUAUUAUUUUUAAUGCAUAUUGCACAUCAGCACACACAUACAAUAAUUUUAAUGCAACACCAGUUGCCAUGUUGGGAAUGGUCCACGCCCUUUGCCAUUGGAUUUGGAUAAGAUUGAUACUAAUUCAAAAGUUUACGGAUCAAUUGGAUAAAAUUAAAAUAAUUGGAUUCAAUUGAAAAUCCAGGUAAGGUUCAAAAUAUAGGAUCAUUAAGCUAACUAAAAACAUAACAAAAAGUUGGCUAUACCAAGGAACACAUUAAUGGAGAGAAAAUUGUAGAUUAUGCAUUAACAACCUGAGCAGUUCAUUUCUCAAGGCUAUAAAAUAAUCAAACCUUCAAUGCUUUUUUCUCCUUAGCAAAGGCAUGGGGAUCUAACUCAGCUUGCCUCUUUUCAGCUGCAUGAAUUGCUUCAAGAAAACUCAUAACCAUCUUUCCAUCUUUUGUUAUAUAGCUAUCAUUCAAUUCCUCUACGGCACAAACAAGAGCCUCUUCUUCUGGCCCCUCCAUUGCAAUGCUUUCUUCAGCCCUAUCCUUGAGAUGGUAUGCAUCAAGUAAACUUGCUGCUUCCGUACCUUUACCCACUGCAGCCUCUGAUCUGUCUUCUGUAGCGAGAUGCUGCGGCACUGUUUUUGUUUCACCCUCUUCAGGAACCAACUUGACCCGAGUUUGUUCUUGUGUAACUUGAACUCCCUCACUCGUUUCACUAGUAGUAUUUGAUUCGGAUUUUUCCUUGACCUUGUCAAGACUAUGUUCAGUAUUUAUACUUUGAGAAAAUUCUGGCACUUGUUUCUCCUUAACAGCAAUUGAUUCAUCUUCUGUUACUACCACAUCAGAUUUUUCUUGAAUGUAAGACUGGUUUAUACCUGGUGUUUCCUUCAAGGCUUCAUGAUGAUGAAUGUCUGUCUGUGAUUCAAUCCUCCCCUCAGCUUGAACCUGAGAAAGAUCUCUAUGAGUUUCAUCCACUUGUGCUUAGUUUCAACAUGAGGAAGAUCUAUGUGAGUUUCAGCCUCUGCUGAGCGUCAGCUUGAGGAAGAUCUAUCUGAUUUUCAACCUUUUCUCCCAUCUGCUCCAAACCGUGACUUAAACUUGCCAGGUUCUUCACUGAUGGUGACAGUCGCUUGCUCUCCGAAAUGUUGGGCUUCCUUUUACCUCUUUAUCAUCAAUGCCAACCUUUGCGGAGCUUUGCUGCUCUUUAGCAAUAAAUUGCUCUAAAUAACCUGAUUGGUAUGCUAACAGAGCAGCACCAGCAACAAUGGUGGUUCCCAGAAGAGCUUUUGAUAAACUACUCUUUGAUUCAGGUAGUUACCACUGGAACCAGCUUUUGGGGGUGCAUUUUUCUGGAAUGAGGUUGAAAAUUCCUUCCUUGAAGAAAGAAAUGACGGUACAGGCUGCAGUUGUAUCACACGCCCACUCAAUAACAGUGAAUGAGAGUUAAUCAUUAACCAAAUAACGAAGCUAAUCAAAAACAGAAGCAUAUAUGCACAUAGUGCAAAUCAAGUUCCUUCCACAUUCAUUUUGAUUUCCCGCACUAAACAACAUAGCUUUUUUUUUGCCAUUUUCAUAUUCUCAAGUUCGAUAAAUUAAAUUUUACUAAAUGCCAGUACAGAGUUACAGCACAAAUUAUAGUCAAAUAUUUAUAUCCUCCACUAAAUAAUUACAUCUCACGCGCAAUUAAACAAACAAUUCCAAGUAUAAAGUACGUAAUCUUGCCAAAUGAAAGAAUGUAAGAACAAUGGAUCGGUCAAAUUACAUGCCUGAGAUGUAACCCGCCGCGGGAUCCUCCUCACCGUUUGACGAGACGAUAAUUCCAAAAGAUCGACCUGAAAAAAGAACCCCAUGAAGAAUUAUCAUCCGCUGAAGCUCGACAAUGAUAUUAACGUUCAAUUAAGAAGAAGGGGCCGCCCUAGAACGCAAGUUUUAUAGGGCAAAGACAAAAUCUGAUAUGUUAAUUAAAGAAUGAAAUGUUACACUAGUAGCUGUAAAAUGCAAAGUCCACACCUUCGAAACAAGCAUUUGAUU
rnacentral:misc_RNA from 1 species